AGAAUCAACGCUGGCGGCGUGCCUAACACAUGCAAGUCGAACGAGAAAGUGGAGCAAUCCAUGAGUAAAGUGGCGCACGGGUGAGUAACACGUGACUAACCUACCCUUGAGUGGGGGAUAACCUAGGGAAACCUGGGCUAAUACCGCAUAAUACCUUCGGGUCAAAGGAGCAAUUCGCUUAAGGAGGGGUCGCGGCCGAUUAGUUAGUUGGCGGGGUAAUGGCCCACCAAGACUGUGAUCGGUA
rnacentral:rRNA from 1 species